GAACGCCGUAGCAAUACGGAGUGGCAGACGGGUGAGUAACGCGUGGGAACGUGCCUUUCGGUUCGGAACAACUGAGGGAAACUUCAGCUAAAACCGGAUACGCCCUUCGGGGGAAAGUUUACGCCGAAAGAUCGGCCCGCGUCAGAUUAGGUAGUUGGUGGGGUAAAGGCCUACCAAGCCGAUGAUCUGUAGGUGGUCUGAGAGGAUGAUCACCCACACUGGGACUGAGACACGGCCCAGACUCCUACGGGAGGCAGCAGUGGGGAAUAUUGGACAAUGGGCGCAAGCCUGAUCCAGCCAUGC
rnacentral:rRNA from 1 species